GGUCCCAUCGUCUAGUGGUUAGGACAUCAGGUUCUCAUCCUGGAAACAGGGGUUCAAUUCCCCUUGGGACUACCA
rnacentral:tRNA from 2 species